rnacentral:rRNA from 1 species
UGGGGAAUUUUGGACAAUGGGGGAAACCCUGAUCCAGCCAUCCCGCGUGUGGGAUGAAGGCCUUCGGGUUGUAAAGCACUUUUGUCAGGAAUGAAACGUCAUGGGUUAAUACCCCGUGAAACUGACGGUACCUUAAGAAUAAGCACCGGCUAACUACGUGCCAGCAGCCGCGGUAAUACGUAGGGUGCAAGCGUUAAUCGGAAUUACUGGGCGUAAAGCGUGCGCAGGCGGUUCGGAAAGAAAGAUGUGAAAUCCCAGAGCUCAACUUUGGAACUGCAUUUUUAACUACCGCGCUAGAGUGCGUGAGAGGGAGAUGGAAUUCCGCGUGUAGCAGUGAAAUGCGUAGAUAUGCGGAGGAACACCGAUGGCGAAGGCAGCCCCCUGGGACAACACUGACGCUCAUGCACGAAAGCGUGGGGAGCAAACAGG